GACGCGAUGGCCUAUCGGUAAGGUACCAGAAGCCAUUAUUAAAGUGGUGGGAUAGACAUUUGUCUGGAGAAGUAGGUUCAAGUCCUACUCGUGUUG